AUUGAACGCUGGCGGCAGGCUUAACACAUGCAAGUCGAGCGCAGAUGAGGUGCUUGCACCUUAUCUUAGCGGCGGACGGGUGAGUAAUGCUUAGUAAUCUGCCUACUAGUGGGGGACAACAUUCCGGAAGGAAUGCUAAUACCGCAUACGCCCUACGGGGGAAAGCAGGGGAUCUUCGGACCUUGCGCUAAUAGAUGAGCCUAAGUGGGUUUAGCUAGUUGGUGAGGUAAAGGACUACCAAGGCGACGAUCUGUAGCGGGUCUGAGAGGAUGGUCCGUGACCCUGGUACUGAGAGACGGCCCAGAAUAAUACGGGAGGAGGCAGGGGGGAAUAUGCGACUAUUGGCGGAAGCCUGCUCCAGCCUUGCCGGGUGGGUCAAGAAGGCCUUUUGGUUGUAAAGCACUUUAAUCGAGGAGGGGGCUACCUGGAUUAAUACUCUAGAAUAGUGGACGUUACUCGCAGUAUAAGCACCCGCUAACUCUGUGGCAGCCGCCGCAGUAUAAC
rnacentral:rRNA from 1 species